GGAAUUUUCCGCAAUGGGCGAAAGCCUGACGGAGCAACGCCGCGUGAGGGAUGAAGGCCUCUGGGCUGUAAACCUCUUUUAUCAAGGAAGAAGAUCUGACGGUACUUGAAGAAUAAGCCACGGCUAAUUCCGUGCCAGCAGCCGCGGUAAUACGGGAGUGGCAAGCGUUAUCCGGAAUUAUUGGGCGUAAAGCGUCCGCAGGCGGCCUUGUAAGUCUGUUGUUAAAGCGUGGAGCUUAACUCCAUUUGAGCAAUGGAAACUGCAAGGCUUGAGUGUGGUAGGGGCAGAGGGAAUUCCCGGUGUAGCGGUGAAAUGCGUAGAUAUCGGGAAGAACACCAGUGGCGAAGGCGCUCUGCUGGGCCAUAACUGACGCUCAUGGACGAAAGCCAGGGGAGCGAAAGGGAUUAGAUACCCCAGUAGUC
rnacentral:rRNA from 1 species